UACGUAGGGGGCAAGCGUUGUCCGGAAUCAUUGGGCGUAAAGAGCGUGUAGGCGGUUCGGUAAGUCGGCUGUGAAAGUCCAGGGCUCAACCCUGGGAUGCCGGUCGAUACUGCCGGACUAGAGUUCGGAAGAGGCGAGUGGAAUUCCCGGUGUAGAGGUGAAAUUCGUAGAUAUCGGGAGGAACACCAGUGGCGAAGGCGGCGAUCUGGGAAGAUACUGACGCUGAGGUGCGAAAGCGUGGGGAGCAAACAGG
rnacentral:rRNA from 1 species